CCUACGGGAGGCAGCAGUGAGGAAUUUUCCACAAUGCCCGAAAGGGUGAUGGAGCAAUACCGCGUGAGGGAUGACUGUCCGUGGACAUUAAACCUCUUUUCUUAAGGAAGAAGCUCUGACGGUACUUAAGGAAUAAGCACCGGCUAACUCUGUGCCAGCAGCCGCGGUAAUACAGGGGGUGCAAGCGUUGUCCGGAAUGAUUGGGCGUAAAGCGUUCGUAGGUGGUUUUUAAAGUCUUCUGUCAAAUCCCAAAGCUCAACUUUGGACAGGCAGUAGAGUACUUAAAGACUAGAGAACGGUAGAAGUAGAGGGAAUUCCCCGUGGAGCGGUGAAAUGCAUAGAUACGGGGAGGAACACCAGAGGCGAAAGCGCUCUACUAGGCCGUGUCUGACACUGAGGGACGACAGCUAGAGGAGUGAAUAGGAUUAGAUACCCUUGUAGUC
rnacentral:rRNA from 1 species